CCUACGGGAGGCAGCAGUGGGGAAUAUUGGGCAAUGGGCGAAAGCCUGACCCAGCAACGCCGCGUGAAGGAAGACGGCUUUCGGGUUGUAAACUUCUUUUGACAGGGAAGAGCAGAAGACGGUACCUGUCGAAUAAGCCACGGCUAACUACGUGCCAGCAGCCGCGGUAAUACGUAGGUGGCAAGCGUUGUCCGGAUUUACUGGGUGUAAAGGGCGUGUAGCCGGGCUGACAAGUCUGAUGUGACAUCCCGGGGCUCAACCCCCGAACUGCAUUUGAAACUGUUGGUCUUGAGUAUCGGAGAGGCAGGCGGAAUUCCUAGUGUAGCGGUGAAAUGCGUAGAUAUUAGGAGGAACACCAGUGGCGAAGGCGGCCUGCGGGACGACAACUGACGGUGAGGCGCGAAAGCGUGGGGAGCAAACAGGAUUAGAUACCCUAGUAGUC
rnacentral:rRNA from 1 species